CAGCUCUCCGAGUGGUAGGGAUGAUUAUUGGGCCUAAAGCAUCCGUAGCCGGCGCUGUAAGUUUUCGGUUAAAUCUGUACGCUCAACGUACAGGCUGCCGGGAAUACUGCAGCGCUAGGGAGUGGGAGAGGUAGACGGUACUCGGUAGGAAGGGGUAAAAUCCUUUGAUCUAUUGAUGACCACCUGUGGCGAAGGCGGUCUACCAGAGCACGUCCGACGGUGAGGGAUGAAAGCUGGGGGAGCAAACCGGAUUAGAUACCCGAGUAGUCC
rnacentral:rRNA from 1 species